rnacentral:rRNA from 1 species
UACGGGGGGGGCAAGCGUUGUUCGGAAUUACUGGGCGUAAAGAGCGUGUAGGCGGCCAAGCAGGUCCGUUGUGAAAACUGGAGGCUUAACCUCCAGACGUCGACGGAAACCGCGUGGCUAGAGUCCGGAAGAGGAGAGUGGAAUUCCUGGUGUAGCGGUGAAAUGCGCAGAUAUCAGGAAGAACACCAAUGGCGAAGGCAGCUCUCUGGGACGGUACUGACGCUGAGACGCGAAAGCGUGGGGAGCGAAGAGG